rnacentral:rRNA from 1 species
GACGGAGGAUGCAAGCGUUAUCCGGAAUGAUUGGGCGUAAAGCGUCUGCAGGUGGCCGUUCAAGUCUGCUGUCAAAGACCGGGGCUUAACUUCGGAAAGGCAGUGGAAACUGAACAGCUAGAGUAUGGUAGGGGCAGAGGGAAUUCCUGGUGUAGCGGUGAAAUGCGUAGAGAUCAGGAAGAACAUCGGUGGCGAAGGCGAUCUGCUGGACCAUAACUGACACUCAGGGACGAAAGCUAGGGGAGCAAAUGGG